GGGAGGGAGGAGGUAGAGGAGGUAGAAGGAGGUAGAGGAGGUAGAGGGAGGUAGAGGAAGGUAGAGGAGGUAGAGGGAGGUAGAGGAGGUAGAGGGAGGGAGAGGUAGAGGAGGUAGAGGGAGGUAGAGGAGGUAGAGGAGGUAGAGGGAGGGAGAGAGGAGGUAGAGGAGGUAGAGGAGGUAGAGGAAGGUAGAGGAGGUAGAGGGAGGGAGAGGUAGAGGUAGAGGAGGGAGAGGUGCUGGUCGGUGAGGUGAGGUGGUGUUUAUUUAAAGUGAAGCUAUAGGAUAGGUAGUACUGGUGGUAGCAGCUGGCCUCUUGCCACAUUUCAAAUCGACCUCCAACUCUAGGAGAAGGUCACGGG
ensembl:lncRNA